UUGGACCAAUUUGCCCCUGA
rnacentral:siRNA from 1 species